AACGAACGCUGGCGGCAUGCCUAACACAUUCAAGUCGAACGAGACCUUCGGGUCUAGUGGCGCACGGGUGCGUAACGCGUGGGAAUCUGCCCUUGGGUUCGGAAUAACAGUUGGAAACGACUGCUAAUACCGGAUGAUGACGUAAGUCCAAAGAUUUAUCGCCCAAGGAUGAGCCCGCGUAGGAUUAGCUAGUUGGUGAGGUAAAGGCUCACCAAGGCGACGAUCCUUAGCUGGUCUGAGAGGAUGAUCAGCCACACUGGGACUGAGACACGGCCCAGACUCCUACGGGAGGCAGCAGUGGGGAAUAUUGGACAAUGGGCGAAAGCCUGAUCCAGCAAUGCCGCGUGAGUGAUGAAGGCCUUAGGGUUGUAAAGCUCUUUUACCCGGGAUGAUAAUGACAGUACCGGGAGAAUAAGCUCCGGCUAACUCCGUG
rnacentral:rRNA from 1 species